AGUGAACGCUGGCGGCGUGCCUAAUACAUGCAAGUCGAACGGAGAUUAAGUAGCUUGCUAUUUAAUCUUAGUGGCGCACGGGUGAGUAAUAUAUAGCUAACUUGCCCAUUACUAAGGGACAACAGUUGGAAACGGCUGCUAAUACCUUAUACUCCGUAUCUAUAUAAGUAGAUACGGGAAAGUUUUUCGGUAAUGGAUAGGGCUAUAUCGUAUCAGCUAGUUGGUAAGGUAAUGGCUUACCAAGGCUAUGACGCGUAACUGGUCUGAGAGGAUGAUCAGUCACAAUGGAACUGAGACACGGUCCAGACUCCUACGGGAGGCAGCAGUAGGGAAUAUUGCUCAAUGGGGGAAACCCUGAAGCAGCAACGCCGCGUGGAGGAUGACACUUUUCGGAGCGUAAACUCCUUUUCUUGAGAAAGAAUUAUGACGGUACCCAAGGAAUAAGCACCGGCUAACUCCGUG
rnacentral:rRNA from 1 species